CAGUUGGUAGCUCAGUGGUAGAGUGCAUGCUUUGUGUGUAUGAAGUCCUGGGUUCGAAUCGGCCUACCUGGUUAA